UACGUAGGGUCCGAGCGUUGUCCGGAAUUACUGGGCGUAAAGAGCUCGUAGGUGGUUUGUCGCGUUGUUCGUGAAAACUCACAGCUCAACUGUGGGCAUGCGGGCGAUACGGGCAGACUAGAGUACUGCAGGGGAGACUGGAAUUCCUGGUGUAGCGGUGGAAUGCGCAGAUAUCAGGAGGAACACCGGUGGCGAAGGCGGGUCUCUGGGCAGUAACUGACGCUGGAGGAGCGAAAAGCGUGGGGAGCGAACAGG
rnacentral:rRNA from 1 species